rnacentral:rRNA from 1 species
UGGGGAAUCUUGGACAAUGGGCGCAAGCCUGAUCCAGCCAUGCCGCGUGGAUGAUGAAGGCCUUAGGGUUGUAAAAUCCUUUCGUGGGGGACGAUAAUGACGGUACCCCAAGAAGAAGCUCCGGCUAACUUCGUGCCAGCAGCCGCGGUAAUACGAAGGGGGCUAGCGUUGUUCGGAUUUACUGGGCGUAAAGCGCGUGUAGGCGGGUCGUUAAGUUGGGGGUGAAAUCCCGAGGCUCAACCUCGGAACUGCCUUCAAAACUGGCGACCUGGACCCAAGUAGAGGCAAGUGGAAUUGCGAGUGUAGAGGUGAAAUUCGUAGAUAUUCGCAGGAACACCAGUGGCGAAGGCGACUUGCUGGACUUAGUGGUGACGCUGAGACGCGAAAGCGUGGGGAGCAAACAGGAUUAGAUACCCCUGUAGUCCCUGAGCGGGCUGGCAAGGCGCAU